rnacentral:rRNA from 1 species
CCUACGGGUGGCAGCAGUCGAGAAUCAUUCACAAUGGGGGAAACCCUGAUGGUGCGACGCCGCGUGGGGGAAUGAAGGUCUUCGGAUUGUAAACCCCUGUCAUGUGGGAGCAAAUUAAAAAGAUAGUACCACAAGAGGAAGAGACGGCUAACUCUGUGCCAGCAGCCGCGGUAAUACAGAGGUCUCAAGCGUUGUUCGGAAUCACUGGGCGUAAAGCGUGCGUAGGCUGUUUCGUAAGUCGUGUGUGAAAGGCGCGGGCUCAACCCGCGGACGGCACAUGAUACUGCGAGACUAGAGUAAGGGAGGGGGAACCGGAAGUCUCGGUGUAGCAGUGAAAUGCGUAGAUAUCGAGAGGAACACUCGUGGCGAAGGCGGGUUCCUGGACAUUAACUGACGCUGAGGCACGAAGGCCAGGGGAGCGAAAGGGAUUAGAUACCCGUGUAGUC